rnacentral:rRNA from 1 species
CUCGUAGGCGGUUCGUCGCGUCCGGUGUGAAAGUCCAUCGCUUAACGGUGGAUCUGCGCCGGGUACGGGCGGGCUGGAGUGCGGUAGGGGAGACAGGAAUUCCCGGUGUAACGGUGGAAUGUGUAGAUAUCGGGAAGAACACCAAUGGCGAAGGCAGGUCUCUGGGCCGUUACUGACGCUGAGGAGCGAAAGCGUGGGGAGCAAACA